GGAGAGGAAGAGCGGGGAGCAGAGCAGUGAUGAUGUCGAUGAUGUGGAGAGGGCCCUCGGCAUGGACGGAGGAAUCCCGAGGACGUCCGGGGAGUUCUUGCGGAGGGUGUCGUCCCGCGCCUACGGCAUGCGCCGAGAUCUGCAACAAACCCUAGACUCCAUCAGUUACGACGGUAAACUGCUCCACUGAUUUCUUCUCCUUCGACGAAUUCCCGGAUGAUAUUCCUUUCAUGUAGUUGAAGGAUCGCUUUUCAAUCUGCCAAAUGUUUUUUUUUCUCACAAGUCCAAUGAUAAAAGCUGCAACUCCGCUCUACUUGCAAGUGAACGGAUCUCUGUUGAUCUCCGAGACUCCAUGGGAUGUGCAUGUUUGCUGAAACAUUAGUGUGAUCUUCGAGUACUAGUCAGAAAGAAGCUCCUACUCGAUUUUAUUUCGCUUGCUCUCUGGUAGAAAUCUAUUCUUGAUGUUCUAGGAGAGGGUCGUCCGUCGGAUGCGGGGGAUUCUCCCGACCUUUGCGUAGGAAAGCAGGCUCCUCUCCCCGGAAACUUGCUUGGUUCCCCGAUGACUAGUGCCCUUGUCUAGCAGAUCGGCCACUGUGAUUCCGUUGCCAAAUUUAUGGAGUCUGAAUACUUAGUGCCUUGUGAUUGUUGCUGCUCAGCAUGUCCAAAUAAUUUUCACUCUGUUUUUCUUUUUCCUCUUCUUUCAGUGUUAGAUUCAAAUCCAUGGCGAGGAAAUCCAAAACCUGUUUAUGUUCUCACUCAAAGAGAAAACCAGCUGUGGACGAUGAAAACGAGGAUGAACCGAAGGUUUGUCCUGGUUCUCUGUUCCUCCAAUCCCUUCCAUGCAACGAAAAGUGUCCACACUGACUGUCCAUUUUCCGGUGCGCAGUGAAGUAGAACGGGAGCUCGGUCUCCUGUUUUCCAGAGGAAAGAGGCAAUCUGACGUAGGAAACAAGUCGAAGAACGCCAGCACCGGGUUCAAGUUCCGAAUGCUCGUAGAAGACAUCAGGGAAGGAGUCCUUGUAAGUAUACAUCUCAGGCCGGACUCGUUUUCAGGCAUCUCCAACUCCGUGGUGGAAUAGAUCUUCGCCAGAAAUCCUGGAUGACAUCAGAAUCCUCGGAUGGAAGUUCACAUCGCUAGAUCUGGCCUUGUUUCAGGUUUUCGAAGACGAGCAAGAUGCCGCGAAAUACUGCGAUCUGCUUCAGGGAGGAGGUCAGGGCUGCGAAGGCAUUGCGGAGCUCGAGGCGUCGUCGGUGAGGAGGGGACGAAUGCCGAAUCCUUACCGGUCAUCCAUGUCGACGGCUUACGAGAUCCUCUCCCCGUCCAGGUCUUCGACAUUUGCCAGAAGAUGAAGGCCCUCGCCGUCCUCUUCCGCCGGGGGAGAACGCCGCCGUUGCCGGAGAACCUUCAGCUCAAUCUCCGCG
rnacentral:lncRNA from 1 species